ACCGCAUGGUCUGCGUUUGGAAAGAUUUUUCGGUUGGGGAGGGGCUCGCGGCCUAUCAGCUUGUUGGUGAGGUAAUGGCUCACCAAGGCGUCGACGGGUAGCCGGCCUGAGAGGGUGACCGGCCACACUGGGACUGAGACACGGCCCAGACUCCUACGGGAGGCAGCAGUGGGGAAUAUUGCACAAUGGGCGGAAGCCUGAUGCAGCAACGCCGCGUGAGGGAUGACGGCCUUCGGGUUGUAAACCUCUUUUAGCAGGGAAGAAGCGAAAGUGACGGUACCUGCAGAAAAAGCGCCGGCUAACUACGUGCCAGCAGCCGCGGUAAUACGUAGGGCGCAAGCGUUAUCCGGAAUUAUUGGGCGUAAAGAGCUCGUAGGCGGUUUGUCGCGUCUGCUGUGAAAUCCCGAGGCUCAACCUCGGGCCUGCAGUGGGUACGGGCAGACUAGAGUGCGGUAGGGGAGAUUGGAAUUCCUGGUGUAGCGGUGGAAUGCGCAGAUAUCAGGAGGAACACCGAUGGCGAAGGCAGAUCUCUGGGCCGUAACUGACGCUGAGGAGCGAAAGGGUGGGGAGCAAACAGGCUUAGAUACCCUGGUAGUCCACCCCGUAAACGUUGGGAACUAGUUGUGGGGUCCAUUCCACGGAUUCCGUGACGCAGCUAACGCAUUAAGUUCCCCGCCUGGGGAGUACGGCCGCAAGGCUAAAACUCAAAGGAAUUGACGGGGACCCGCACAAGCGGCGGAGCAUGCGGAUUAAUUCGAUGCAACGCGAAGAACCUUACCAAGGCUUGACAUAUACGAGAACGGGCCAGAAAUGGUCAACUCUUUGGACACUCGUAAACAGGUGGUGCAUGGUUGUCGUCAGCUCGUGUCGUGAGAUGUUGGGUUAAGUCCCGCAACGAGCGCAACCCUCGUUCUAUGUUGCCAGCACGUAAUGGUGGGAACUCAUGGGAUACUGCCGGGGUCAACUCGGAGGAAGGUGGGGAUGACGUCAAAUCAUCAUGCCCCUUAUGUCUUGGGCUUCACGCAUGCUACAAUGGCCGGUACAAAGGGCUGCAAUACCGUGAGGUGGAGCGAAUCCCAAAAAGCCGGUCCCAGUUCGGAUUGAGGUCUGCAACUCGACCUCAUGAAGUCGGAGUCGCUAGUAAUCGCAGAUCAGCAACGCUGCGGUGAAUACGUUCCCGGGUCUUGUACACACCGCCCGUCAAGUCAUGAAAGUCGGUAACACCUGAAGCCGGUGGCCUAACCCUUGUGGAGGGAGCCGUCGAAGGUG
rnacentral:rRNA from 1 species